rnacentral:rRNA from 1 species
UAGAUACCCCACUAUGCUUUGCCGUAAACAUUGAUAGCAUAUCACACCCGCUAUCCGCCUGGGAACUACGAGCAUUAGCUUAAAACCCAAAGGACUUGGCGGUGCUUUAGACCCACCUAGAGGAGCCUGUUCUAUAACCGAUGACCCCCGUUCAACCUCACCUUUUCUUGUUUUAUUCCGCCUAUAUACCGCCGUCGUCAGCUUACCCUGCAGAGGGAACACACAGUAAGCACAAUUGGUAAUACCCAAAACGUCAGGUCGAGGUGUAGCGUAUGAAAAGGGAAGAAAUGGGCUACAUUCCCUGUUACAGUGAAUACGGAUGAUAUUGCUGAAACGUAUAUCUAGAAGGAGGAUUUAGCAGUAAGUAGGAAGCAGAGCGUUCUACUGAAACCGGCCCUGAAGCGCGCACACACCGCCCG